UACGGAGGGGGCGAGCGUUGUCCGAAGUUACUGGGCGUAAAGCGCGCGUAGGCGGGGAGCCAAGUCCGCUGUGAAAGCCUGAGGCUUAACCUCAGCGGGUCGGUGGAUACUGGUUCUCUUGAAGGCGUUAGGGGGAGAUGGAAUUACCGGUGUAGCGGUGAAAUGCGUAGAUAUCGGUAGGAACACCCGUGGCGAAGGCGGUCUCCUGGGACGUUCUUGACGCUGAGGCGCGAAAGCUGGGGGAGCGAACGGGAUUAGAUACCCCGGUAGUCCCAGCCCUAAACGAUGGAUACUAGGUGUCGGGGGUAUCGACCCCCCCGGUGCCGUCGCUAACGCAGUAAGUAUCCCGCCUGGGGAGUACGGCCGCAAGGUUGAA
rnacentral:rRNA from 1 species